GAUAGUUCCAAGCUGAUGUUUGUUUCCCUUGCAUGAAUUGAACAUGCUACUCUAAAAUCAGAGAGCAGACAACUAUAGGUUUAUUUUUUAGUUUAAGUAUAGUAGCUACUAGCUACUGUAUGUGCAAUGCGAGCAGAUUGUAAAAUAUGCAAACCCCUGAUGUAUACUAGGAAGUGUUUGUUCAUUAGUAUGGAAACAUGUGUCGUAGUGUCUAGGACCCGCCGGUGAGCUGAUCCACUCUUUAGUUUUCCACCUUUUACUUUUAGCGUUUAAUUUUGUUGUCCUUUCCUACGGAUUUUCAUUAUUUCUCUUCUUUAUAUGUUCAAAUUGUAAAGGAGGUAAAAUGCACGUGUAUGUCCUUGAUGCAGAUCUCUUUGAUUUAUAUAUGUGCUCACGAGGACAUUCCCAUUGCAUCUGAAUUGACAAGUUGAAGAAUCUGGUCUUUUUGUGCUUGCCUACAGAACUGUCAUAUCUUAUAUUUGUUGGUCAAAUAAAAACGACUGAUGGUUGAUUGUCUCAACCACAAAUGAGCAUUUCUGGAUUGUAGAACAAAGAGUGCCCCGGGCAAAAGGACCAAGUUUUGGCGGGUGGGCAUCGGGAGUCCAGUUGGUUGGCUUCAGCCUUUGAGGUGCUGUCGGCUAGCGGCGCCGCUUCUGAGUGUCUCCUCAACUCACUCCCGUGGCACCUUCGGCCGGUUCAUGUCAAGUGCCACCUGUGAAGUUGAUCGACAAGGCAGUUGAAUGAAGCCACUUAUUAGCACCUUGCUUGCUCUUCUUUCUUUUUGGAGCCAAAAGAUCCAUCGGCGCUCCACUACCGGGCUUUGAUUUGAAGAGACUGCUGGGCAAGGCUAUCUCGGUCAUCUUCGGUCUGAUACAUAGGUCAAACCAGGACUCACACACUCUCUCGCCGAUAUUUCACUUCGCUCCCGUGAAUAUAUCGUCUUCUACGCACGGCGGCGCUGCCUUGGAUCGGCCCUCCAUCGUGCCGCUUUGUUCGUCACCACGCAUCUCAGCUCCAAUA